rnacentral:tRNA from 1 species
CUCCAGUUAGCCUAGUGGUUAAGGCUACGGAUCGCCAAUCCCGAGACGGCGGGAUCGAUUCCCGUUCUGGUCA